UACGUAGGGGGCAAGCGUUGUCCGGAAUCAUUGGGCGUAAAGCGCGUGUAGGCGGCUCGGUAAGUCUGCUGUGAAAGUCCAGGGCUCAACCCUGGGAUGCCGGUGGAUACUGUCGAGCUCGAGUCCGGAAGAGGCGAGUGGAAUUCCUGGUGUAGCGGUGAAAUGCGCAGAUAUCAGGAGGAACACCAAUGGCGAAGGCAGCUCGCUGGGACGUGACUGACGCUGAGACGCAAAAGCGUGGGGAGCAAACAGG
rnacentral:rRNA from 1 species